UACGGAGGGCGCGAGCGUUGUCCGGAAUCACUGGGCGUAAAGGGCGCGUAGGCGGCCCUGGUAAGUCUGCGGUGAAAGCCCGGGGCUCAACCCCGGGUCGGCCGCGGGUACUGCCGGGCUGGAGUGCCGUAGGGGCAGGCGGAAUUCCGGGUGUAGCGGUAGAAUGCGUAGAGAUCCGGAAGAACACCGGUGGCGAAGGCGGCCUGCUGGGCGGCGACUGACGCUGAGGCGCGACAGCGUGGGGAGCAAACAGG
rnacentral:rRNA from 1 species